UCUGUAAUGAAAGGAUUGUUCAUUUCAGGUCGGUCUUCCUGCUGCCUGUCAGCCCAGGAGGGAAGGCGUGAGUGUUCACUGCUAACUUGGUGCACGUGGCAAACACCUGAGACAUAUUUGCGGACUGAGUGAAGAAGUGCCUUCAAGAUCUGCUCACGCCUUUGAAAGUGUGAUUACAGAUUCUUCUUCCAUAGGAGGAACGUCACAUCACCUCCCUGGGAAGAACAUUCCAGGAAGCCAGGCUUUUAAAUCACAAGACUUUUAGUUAGCCAUUACCACCCCUAGAACUUUUUGAGACGGAAUUUUGCUUUCUGCCCAUGCUGGAGUGCAAUGGUGCCAUCUCAGCUCACUGCAACCUCCGUCUCCUGGGACUACAGGUAUGUGCUAACACGCCCAGCUAAUUUUGUAUUUUUAAUAGACAGCAGUUCUCCAUGUUUGUCAGGCUGACCUCACAUGAUCCACCCACCUCAGUGUCCCAAAGUGCUAGAUUAUAGGGGUGAGCCACUGUGCCCAGUAUUUUUUAAACCUUUGGAGACAUGCCAGCUAAUCUUUCCCCUACCGACUUGUUACCUACUGCUCACAACGAGCUCAAAGGACCAGAAAAUGAGCGACUUUAGACACUGAGUUUAAAGAAAUCUGGUAAUGAACUGAGACAAAAGGCCAAGGAACUGACUACAUUUAAGACACAAGGUGUCCCAUGAAUAUCAUCACAACAGUGCAGACGUGCACAUGGGAUGCACAUUGUCUGCAUUAUUUUCUGUCUACAUGUACUCCACCCCACACGCACCAGAAGUACACAUUGGGAAGAUCAUGUCAACCCUUACAGUGGCCAAUGUUAGUCACCUCCUGCUAGUACCUCAUGUUUUACAUUGUGGCACCAAUGCUGUCACAUCAAGAAUACUCCCCUUCUCUGCCCAAGACAGACACUGUCACGCAACUUCUUUUAACUCAUCUGUAUUUGUUACAACUUUAAGCAGAAUGUAACUCGAGCACUACAUUUCCAUCCACAAGACUGGCUCUGAGUUACUUUGAACAGCUUAUGGUAUGCUUAGGUAGGCUAAUAACUGCUCCUCCAAACAA